rnacentral:rRNA from 1 species
UACGAAGGGGGCUAGCGUUGCUCGGAAUCACUGGGCGUAAAGCGCACGUAGGCGGCUUUUUAAGUCAGGGGUGAAAUCCUGGAGCUCAACUCCAGAACUGCCUUUGAUACUGAGAGCUUGAGUCCGGGAGAGGUGAGUGGAACUGCGAGUGUAGAGGUGAAAUUCGUAGAUAUUCGCAAGAACACCAGUGGCGAAGGCGGCUCACUGGCCCGGUACUGACGCUGAGGUGCGAAAGCGUGGGGAGCAACAGGG